GGGCGCGUAACUCAGUGGUAGAGUGUUCGCUUUGCAUGCGAAAAGUCCAGGGUUCGAUCCCCUGCCCGUCCA